CCUACGGGAGGCAGCAGUAGGGAAUCUUCCACAAUGGGCGAAAGCCUGAUGGAGCAACGCCACGUGGGUGAAGAAGGUCUUCGGAUCGUAAAACCCUGUUGUUAGAGAAGAAAGUGCGUGAGAGUAACUGUUCACGUUUCGACGGUAUCUAACCAGAACGCCACGGCUAACUACGUGCCAGCAGCCGCGGUAAUACGUAGGUGGCAAGCGUUAUCCGGAUUUAUUGGGCGUAAAGGGAACGCAGGCGGUCUUUUAAGUCUGAUGUGAAAGCCUUCGGCUUAACCGGAGUAGUGCAUUGGAAACUGGGAGACGUGAGUGCAGAAGAGGAGAGUGGAACUCCAUGUGUAGCGGUGAAAUGCGUAGAUAUAUGGAAGAACACCAGUGGCGAAAGCGGCUCUCUGGUCUGUAACUGACGCUGAGGUUCGAAAGCGUGGGUAGCAAACAGGAUUAGAUACUCCUGUAGUC
rnacentral:rRNA from 1 species